UGCGAAAGCAGGUCAUAGUGAUCCGGUGGUUCUGAAUGGAAGGGCCAUCGCUCAACGGAUAAAAGGUACUCCGGGGAUAACAGGCUGAUACCGCCCAAGAGUUCAUAUCGACGGCGGUGUUUGGCACCUCGAUGUCGGCUCAUCACAUCCUGGGGCUGAAGUAGGUCCCAAGGGUAUGGCUGUUCGCCAUUUAAAGUGGUACGCGAGCUGGGUUUAGAACGUCGUGAGACAGUUCGGUCCCUAUCUGCCGUGGGCGCUGGAGAACUGAGGGGGGCUGCUCCUAGUACGAGAGGACCGGAGUGGACGCAUCACUGGUGUUCGGGUUGUCAUGCCAAUGGCACUGCCCGGUAGCUAAAUGCGGAAGAGAUAAGUGCUGAAAGCAUCUAAGCACGAAACUUGCCCCGAGAUGAGUUCUCCCUGAGACUUUAAGUCUCCUGAAGGAACGUUGAAGACGACGACGUUGAUAGGCCGGGUGUGUAAGCGCAGCGAUGCGUUGAGCUAACCGGUACUAAUGAACCGUGAGGCUUAACCUUACAACGCCGAAG
rnacentral:rRNA from 1 species